rnacentral:rRNA from 1 species
CCUACGGGCGGCUGCAGUGAGGAAUAUUGGUCAAUGGGCGAGAGCCUGAACCAGCCAAGUCGCGUGAGGGAGUACUGCCCUAUGGGUUGUAAACCUCUUUUGUCGGGGAGCAAAAGCCGGACGUGUUCGGCUGUGAGAGUACCCGAAGAAAAAGCAUCGGCUAACUCCGUGCCAGCAGCCGCGGUAAUACGGAGGAUGCGAGCGUUAUCCGGAUUUAUUGGGUUUAAAGGGUGCGCAGGCGGAUUGUUAAGUCAGCGGUAAAAUCGUGGGGCUCAACCCCAUCCAGCCGUUGAAACUGGGGAUCUAGAGUGUGCGAGAGGUAUGCGGAAUGCGUGGUGUAGCGGUGAAAUGCAUAGAUAUCACGCAGAACCCCGAUUGCGAAGGCAGCAUACCGGUGCACAACUGACGCUCAGGCACGAAAGCGUGGGUAUCGAACAGGAUUAGAUACCCCAGUAGUC